rnacentral:pre_miRNA from 1 species
GUUUAGUGGUACAAUACCUCAGUCUUUUCAGGUGUUCUAUAAAAUCACCUGGAAAUAUUGAGGUUGAGUUUCACUGAACACAGGC